UACAGAGGUUUCAAGCGUUGUUCGGAUUCAUUGGGCGUAAAGGGUGCGUAGGUGGCGGGGUAAGUCAGGUGUGAAAUCUCGGAGCUCAACUCCGAAACUGCACUUGAUACUGCCUUGCUCGAGUACUGGAGAGGAGAUUGGAAUUUACGGUGUAGCAGUGAAAUGCGUAGAUAUCGUAAGGAAGACCAGUGGCGAAGGCGAAUCUCUGGACAGUUACUGACACUGAGGCACGAAGGCCAGGGGAGCAAACAGG
rnacentral:rRNA from 1 species